rnacentral:antisense_RNA from 1 species
GUGCUGUUUAUACCAGAUGAAUCUACAAAGCCAAGAACAGGAAUCACCGUAUCUCCUUCAGUAGACCUGAUACUAUAUGUCAUAACACUGUCAAUGCCUGGAGGAGGGUAAAAUUCUGACUCUGACCACCAAGCUGAUCUGCACAGAAGGGGAUACAUGAUUAUUCAAAGAAUGCUAGUUGAACCCAAAAUUUCGAACUGCAGCUACAUCUAUCUAAUGUUGGUUCCUCCACCUUCAGUUUUCUCAAGCAGCGUUGUUCUGACACAAACACUGUAACCACUUUUGUGAUAUUGAGCCUUACUCUGUGUGACUCCAGAGUGAGCUGAGGUGUGCUUGAAAGAACAUGGGCUUUGAAGUUAAGUGCAUCUUGUCUGUGGUGUGUUUAACAAGUAUGCCCCUCUGAGACACAGCAUCCUUAUUUGUAAAAGAAGGAUAAUAGUGCCCACUUUUCAAGAUUAAUGACAUGAGUAGAUUGAGUAGCAUAUGUAAAGUGCCUUUACAUAUAGGGUAUGUCUGUUAAAUGAAUGAUC